rnacentral:rRNA from 1 species
AGUGGGGAAUAUUGCACAAUGGAGGAAACUCUGAUGCAGCAACGCCGCGUGGAGGAUGACACUUUUCGGAGCGUAAACUCCUUUUAUAUAGGAAGAUAAUGACGGUACUAUAUGAAUAAGCACCGGCUAACUCCGUGCCAGCAGCCGCGGUAAUACGGAGGGUGCAAGCGUUACUCGGAAUCACUGGGCGUAAAGAGCGUGUAGGCGGGUUAAUAAGUUUGAAGUGAAAUCCUAUGGCUCAACCAUAGAACUGCAUUUGAAAACUGUUAACCUAGAAUAUGGGAGAGGUAGAUGGAAUUUCUGGUGUAGGGGUAAAAUCCGUAGAGAUCAGAAGGAAUACCGAUUGCGAAGGCGAUCUACUGGAACAUUAUUGACGCUGAGACGCGAAAGCGUGGGGAGCAAA